AAAACACUGAUGAACGCUGGCGGCGUGCUUAACACAUGCAAGUCGAACGGAGCUAUCUGGAUAGAGGAUUCGUCCAAUUGAAGGGUAUGCUUAGUGGCGGACGGGUGAGUAACGCGUGAGUAACCUGCCUAGGAGUGGGGAAUAACAGUCCGAAAGGAUUGCUAAUACCGCAUGAUGCAGUUGGGUCGCAUGGCCCGGACUGCCAAAGAUUUAUCGCUCUUAGAUGGACUCGCGUCUGAUUAGCUAGUUGGCGGGGUAAAGGCCCACCAAGGCGACGAUCAGUAGCCGGACUGAGAGGUUGGCCGGCCACAUUGGGACUGAGACACGGCCCAG
rnacentral:rRNA from 1 species